rfam:Citrobacter koseri ATCC BAA-895, complete genome.
UACAUCUUGUCGGAGUGCCGUGUGUGAAAACACAGGCUGAGACCGUUAAUUCGGGAUCCGCGGAACCUGAUCAGGCUAAUACCUGCGAAGGGAACAAGAGUAAACUGCUU